rfam:Glycine soja cultivar W05 scaffold708_3, whole genome shotgun sequence.
CUGACAGAAGAGAGUGAGCACAUGCUAGUGGUAUUUGUAUGAGGGCAUACAAUUGCGGGUGCGUGCUCACUUCUCUAUCUGUCAG